GCUGCGUUAUCCAUGCCCCUUCAUAAAUCAACAAUAUUUGACUGCAUUUGUUCUAACGAUUUCUUUAAAUUAAAGCGUCUCGUUCUCUUUGCCUAAUUUCACAGGCAGAUACGCUUGGUAACUGGAUAAUAGCACGUUACAGAAUGGGCAACAACCUAAGCAUGGGCCAAAACCUAAGCAGUGAAGCGAACGGCAUCGAUGGAUGCGCGGGAUGCGGAUUAUGGCUCCCGCCUGCCAAUCCCUAUUUUGAUUUCAUUAAAGUGUUGCAAGCAACCGAUACUAUGACAUAUUGCUUCUGGACACCAACAGAACAUCCAGUCAUUAUUACAAAUUCAGUGAACGUAGGUUUGAGCAUGACCCCAACACCUUCAGUCGCCGUAGGGGUUGAAAAGGCUGUUCAGGUCGCAAUUGGAACUAAGUUAUUUAAAUAUUUCAGGAUUGUAGGCUCUUCGGAAUAUUGGUGUUCCAAGUGUUUUGCCAUAAACAAACAUCAUAUUGCUCGGUCAGUAUUCUUGGAGUUACAGGGUACUGGGGAAAUAGUCUCACUAGACAUGGAAUUUGUAAAGAUUAUUGAUGAAGACCAAUAAAGAUUCACUCUAAGAAGAAAUAAUGGACAAACACGUUUGAAGUAUCGAAAGGUUCAAUAGACUUAUAUUAUCAACACUCUGUUUAUAUUUAAGUUCAUUUCUCUAUCCUCAUUUCUGAAGAUCUAUCAUAUGAAUGUUCGUUGUUAAAUAUUGACAUUAUUUCAGAGUUUUCGUUGAUCAUCGACAUGAAUAAUGCAUAAGAAUUCAAUGGUUACACAUUUAAUGAAAAACAGUCAUGUUUUGGCCGAUAAAAGGCCAACGAUAAAGCGAAAAUUAUUCCGAAACUUAAACUAUAUAGCAAUUAUUUUUUUCAAUUGAAUUUUGAACUGCUUGUUUCCUCUUCGCUCAGAAUCCAAAGUACUUUUUAUUUAUACAUUAAAAUAUUGAUUUCAUAUAUAGAGCAAUCACUCAUCGUCAUAUUAGAAUGGAAAUUACAAGUUCUUUACGUGUCACCAUGAUCAUAAUAAUCCAUUGCAAAUGUUGGUUAAAUUUAAGGAAUGUUGUUGACAUUGACAUUGUAAACAAGAAAUGUCACGAACAAAAAACAAACACGGUUGUUACUGUUGGUGUCAUCAUUGUUUUAAAUAAACAAUUGUAUUACUAAAGAACAGUA